rnacentral:rRNA from 1 species
GCAGGAUUGGAACUCAAAGGAAUUGACGGGGGCCUACCACAAGUGGUGGAGCAUGUGGUUUAAUGGCGAUAAUCCGCGCAAACCUUACCAGCCUUUGUAUAAAACAAAAAAGAACUUUUCUAAUUCUCCCUAAAGAAUAAAAUUUUUUCUGGAGUAAUUCUGUUUUACAGGUGUUGCACGACUGUCGUCAGCUCGUGUCGUGAGAUCGUUGGUUAAUUCCUUAAACGGGCGACUGCUCAUUAUAAGUGAGAGGAAGAAAAGAAUCACGUCAAGUCUCUGUGGCCCUAAUAGGCUGGGCUACACAUGUGCUACAAUGGAAACUACAAUUGUAUUUUAAAAGUUUCCUCAGUUCGGAUUGUAGACUGAAACUCGUUUACAUGAAGCCGGAAUCACUAGUAAUCGUAAAUCAGCAUGUUACGGUGAAUAUGUAAAUUGGCCUUGUA